UCUGCGUCAUUUUGUCUUCCGUCUUCCGUCAUUCCUUAUUCCUUAAAUUCCUUCAAUUCAUCGAGGUUAAAACGAUGAAAAUAGAAAGAAAUAAAUACUAAAUUAUUACAUUAAAUUGUCGCUUUUGUCUUGGCAUGGUGAUCGGUGGGGUGUGUAGUGUAUUACGAAGUGAAGACCAUGUUUUGAAGGCAUAUUCCGCCGAAAAAAUGGUUCUAUUAUCAAACUACAUAAUGAAUAUGGUGACAACACAUUAAUGUUAUGAGCAGAAGCCGUGCUAUGACAGUGUCAGGAUACAUAUAAAUGGAUUGUUGGUUAGUAAGGAGUGCAGGCCUAAUGUAGUUUGGUUUUCUGCUUGCCACAAAAGAUUUUCUGCCGAAGAUGCAAUUUUCAGUUUAGUCUUUUUUAUGGAUUCAUAGCAAUAACAUGCUGGUGUAUCGGAUUGAUACUGAUGAAUAUACAAUAUAAGACACCAUUACAGGAUUAAAAUUAAAAAGCAGAAACAGCCUCAUGUGUGUAGAAAAAAGAGACAGUGGCGAAUAAUAUUCAAAAUCUUGAUCCAAUGUAUAAAUGUACAUUUAAUUAUAAUAAAUAUUACUUAUUGUGUUGUUUUUUAU
rnacentral:lncRNA from 1 species